UGAGGUUUGUUUGUUUUGGUAGGGAUGAAGUUGAAGAGGAGAGUAGGAGAAGUUUGGAGGCUUUAGCUUUGAGGAAAAGAGCUGAGGAUGAGAGGGGUAAUGGUAAUUACUGCGAGGCUCAUCGUUUGCUUUCACAGAUGGUCAGAAUGCAUGUGACGAUGUGACCAACAAGAUGCUGAAAUAAGUGUCUUCAUCAGGUCUGCUGUGGAGUUGGCAAUGGGAAAUUGCACUUGAUGAUGCUAAGGAGGCGUUGACUAUUGCUCCCAAUUAUCCUGAAGGCUAUAUUUCCAAAGGUGAUGCUUUUAUGGCUUUGGAUCAAGUUGAUGCAGCUGAGAAGUCAUACUCCAUGGCUUUAGAGAUAGAUCCAUCCAUCCGACAUUCAAAAUCUUUCAAGGUGCAGUUCAUGUUUGUUGUAGUUCUAUAGUAAUAUUGGUUUAUCUUUUUUGCAUCUGUUCUACGCUGCAGGUCCCACGACCCCUUGGGUUUAUCCUGCAUUUGGAAGAAGUAGAAAAAGGAAUAAAUAUAGUGAUAAUUUGAUUUUUUGUCGCCAUAGUAAAUAGGAGAUAAAAUCGAAUUUAAUUCUUCAUUUUUACAAAAACUUCGCCAAAAAAAAAAAAGCUUAUUUAUUAAGGUCGACUUCCUAGCAUUAACUUUUGGCGAUACCAAACACGAAUACAAAAUUUCUUCAACCAAUGAGGGUGCUAUUUGAGAAGUAAUUGGAAUCUGAUAUAGUUCAUUUGGUAGUAGUUUAAAUCAGGUUAUUACGUGGUAGAAGUCUUUAGUCUAUCCAGUUGUGUCAAUAACUAAAUAAAGCUCUCUAUCAAUAGGUAAUAUCUUAAUAACUGAUAGUCUAGUUCCAAUAAGAUAAGGCUGGAAAAGCACAUAAAAUGCAAGAUUGUAAAAUUGCUGUGAAAGUGAAUGGUUGGUUAUGGAUACUUUGAAGGAAAAGGGGAUUGAGGCAGGGUAACUUCAUGUUUCCAUUGUUAUUUGUUUUAGUGAUGGAUUACCUGUCCAGGAUUCUGAAAAGGAUGAGUGGUUUGCCUGAUUUCAGAUUCCAUUAACUUACUCAUUUGGUGUUUGCUAAUGACUUAAUUAUCUUUCGUAAGGGGGCAUUAGCAUCAGUGUCUAGAGUAAAGGAGGCCUUAGGUCAUUUUAGCCAAGCCACUGGACUGGAGGCAAAUUGUGAGGAAUCGAACAUAUUUUUGGCAGGAAUAGAUGCUGUCACUGAAGAGAAUAUCUCAAGAAGAAAUGGAAUAAUAGGCACCUUACCGAUCAGUGUCUAGGGGUCCCUUUGUCACAUUAGAAAUGGAAGGGAAGAACAUUGAUUGUCAUCAACUGGUGGGAAAAAUCACUAGCAGAAUUAAUAAUGGCUAUUGCAAGCAACUUCCAUGUGUCGGGCGUCUGCAAAUUAUUAACUAUGUUCUUUUUUCCAUUUACAACUUUUGGGGAGCUAUUUUCAUCCUCAGCAGGUGCUCAAAGAGGUGGACAGGAAAUGCCGAGAGUACCUAUGGGUUAGUCGGACAGAGAAGAGGAAAAUAUCCCUAGUAGCUUGGUACAAGGUGUGUGUACCAAAGAAAUAUGGGGGGUUGAACAUAAUAGGGUGCAAAAGUUGGAAUAUUGCCUCUGUGGAAAAAUUGGUUUGACAACCGGCAAAUAAGAAGGAUGUGUUGUGGGUGAAAUGGGCACAUGAAGUGUAUAUGUAGACUACUACUAAUUUCUGGGAACAUAAACCACCUCAAGAAAGUAGUUGGUAUUGGCGAAAGUUAAAUGCUAUCAAGCUGCAUAUGUUGGACUGGUAUCAUAGGGGUCAUUACAAGUUGACUGCAACUGGUGCAUACUCAUUCACAAGUAGCUACAUUGCAAUGGGUGAUUGCACCAAGUGGAGGGAAGUUGAAAUGAUCUGGAGUUCUGUUAUGCUACCUAGGCAGAGACUGAUUCUGUGGUUGCCGUUCCAGAAUAAGUUGCUGACGAAGACAAGACUACAAAGAUUAAAUAUUCUAGUGGAGGAUACCAAGUGUUGUCUCUGUGAUGCUGCCGAGGAAAUUCAAAGGCACUUAAUGGGUCACUGCAAAUGGAUUACAGUGGGAACUCUAUCCAACUGGCUUGGACUACAUGUCAUGGAUAGGGAUGUGCAAAGCAGUAUCAGGUGGAUAAGUAACAGGCACUGGAGACAGUUUUAGAAGCAAACAGUUGCAUCAGUUUUGGGGGCUAUGAUAUACCACACUUGGCAAGCUAGGUAUAAGAAAGUUUUCCAGCAUACAACCACACAUACGAGUUUAGUCAUUGCACAGAUACAGAAAGGAGUAAUGUAGACAACAAGUUUAUGUAAAGAGUCUAAGAGAGCUCGCAGAUGUCAAUAUUGGAUACAACAAAUUUGUAUUUAGUGUUU